rnacentral:lncRNA from 1 species
CAGUCUAUGGAAGAAGCGUAUCGAUAAAAACUUUUCUUAUAUCACAAAGCGAUAUUGUCUAAUAUCAAUUGUAAAUAUGCAGACAUUCCAUGCGGAAAAUGUUGUUUUCGGCAACGAAAAAUUAAGAAAAUACUAACUUUAAAACGUAUUGUUCAAAUAUAAACAACAAUUGAGUCUAAAUAUACAUUGAGAAGUUAGUUAGAAGCUAAAGUUUAUGUCCGUGUAAAAUUUGAAGUGCUGUGUUUUUCUUAUAUACAUAAAUAAACAAUGCGAUACUUUUAAAAUAUCAAUGCGAUACUUUUAAAAUAUCAUAGCAGUGUUUUUCUUAUAUCAAUAUUAGUACCGAUUAGUAUUAAUAUUAGACUGUUGUACCCAUAUUUUGACAAUUUUACCUAUUAUGUCUGUUUUGUUCACGCAUCGUUGUAAAUAUGACAGAAUUUGAUGAGGC